UUCAGUUUUUUAACAAUUGUCUCAUGGAUUCGUAGUAUAGCGUUACUUAAUAACAAUUAUAAACUGUAAAAUAUAAAUAUUUUAUAAAAAUAAAAUUUGCAAGUUU
rnacentral:sRNA from 1 species